GGGGUGAGCAGGGUGAUGGGAGUUAGGAACAGGGCUGUGAGGAGCCCUCGGCCCGCCCCACACCCCUUUCUCUCGCGGAGGCCUCGGAGGCCCGGGAUCCAGGCUCCCACAGCCUCCCGCUCGGGCCAUGGACUCUUUUGAUCUCGCCCGUUUUAAGGGGGCGGCGGGGGCGGGGGGCGUGAGGUGCAUUUAAAGAAAAAUCUCUGUUGUUGAAAGUAUUACAUAUGUCCCCCCUUUUCCGCAUUGACCCCCCGCCCCGAGGUGCAGUUUUAUUAUCUUGGCGCUUUUAUCCCUCUCACUUGUGACCAAGCCGUUCUCUCCCCGGCCGAGCGCGUCUCAUGCGACAAGGUCGGGGGCGGACGUCGCCUUCCCGGGGAGCUUGGCGAACCCCCGGCCGGCGGCCCUUCCCGGGGGCGCCCGCCGGCUCCGUGCAGGCCCCUUGCCGCGCCCUCUUGGGCUCCGCUGCCCGCGGACACGCCUCCCCGCGACCCCCCUCCGCCGGGCCUCCCGCCCUGAAACGACGUCUAUUCAUCUUUGUAUUCCCAGCGCCGAACACGGGGCCUGCCAACGAGGCCCCGUAAAAGGCAGCCAUUGUCUUUGUCGUGUUGGGGGACGGGGGGGCGGGGGGGGGCGUAAAUGUUUACGAGUUGAAUUCCAGUGUCUCCUGGAACAGCGGGGUGGGUCUGCUCCCCUGGAGUCGUUCUGUUCAGGGAUUUAGAAGCGCUGGCUGCGCGGGACGGUGGAGGUCAGGCCGCACAGACCUGUGUGUUCACAGCCCUCCCUGACGGGCGGGACCUCACCAGCGCCCCUGAAGGCGGGGAAGGGGACAAACACCUGCGGAGCCCCUACCCCAGGCCAGGCCGGAGCCGGGCGCUCGGACAUCUGUCAUCUUUCCUGAAUCAGACCCACUGUGAGAUGCGGUAACGCCCCGACAAGGCGCGUGCUGUUCAGUGGAGACAGGAUUUUAACUGGUGUCUUCUGCCUACAGACCCUGAGACUCCAGGGUAACAGAGUGAGGAUAACGCAGGAGGAGAGGCUGAGAUCACCCUGAGAUUCCAUAAUAACAGAGUGAGGAUAACGCAGGAGGAGAGGCUGAGAUCACCCUGAGAUUCCAUAAUAACAGAGUGAGGAUAAUGCAGGAGAGGCUGAGAUCACCCUGAGAUUCCAUAAUAACAGAGUGAGGAUAAUGCAGGAGAGGCUGAGAUCACCCUGAGAUUCCAUAAUAACAGAGUGAGGAUAAUGCAGGAGGAGAGGCUGAGAUCACCCUGAGAUUCCAUAAUAACAGAGUGAGGUAACGCAGACGGAGAGGCUGAGAUCACCCUGAGAUUCCAUAAUAACAGUGAGGAUAAUGCAGGAGGAGAGGCUGAGAUCACCCUGAGAUUCCAUAAUAACAGAGUGAGGUAACGCAGACGGAGAGGCUGAGAUCACCCUGAGAUUCCAUAAUAACAGUGAGGAUAAUGCAGGAGGAGAGGCUGAGAUUCCAUAAUAACAGUGAGGAUAACGCAGAAGGAGAGGCUGAGAUCACCCUGAGAUUCCAUAAUAACAGAGUGAGGAUAAUGCAGGAGGAGAGGCUGAGAUCACCCUGAGAUUCCAUAAUAACAGUGAGGAUAAUGCAGGAGGAGAGGCUGAGAUCACCCUGAGAUUCCAUAACAACAGAGUGAGGAUAACGCAGGAGAGGCUGAGAUCACCCUGAGAUUCCAUAAUAACAGAGUGAGGUAACGCAGACGGAGAGGCUGAGAUCACCCUGAGAUUCCAUAAUAACAGUGAGGAUAAUGCAGGAGGAGAGGCUGAGAUCACCCUGAGAUUCCAUAACAACAGAGUGAGGAUAACGCAGGAGAGGCUGAGAUCACCCUGAGAUUCCAUAAUAACAGAGUGAGGUAACGCAGACGGAGAGGCUGAGAUCACCCUGAGAUUCCAUAAUAACAGUGAGGAUAAUGCAGGAGAGGCUGAGAUCACCCUGAGAUUCCAUAACAACAGAGUGAGGAUAAUGCAGAAGGAGAGGCUGAGAUCACCCUGAGAUUCCAUAAUAACAGAGUGAGGAUAAUGCAGGAGGAGAGGCUGAGAUCACCCUGAGAUUCCAUAAUAACAGAGUGAGGAUAAUGCAGGAGGAGAGGCUGAGAUCACCCUGAGAUUCCAUAAUAACAGAGUGAGGAUAACGCAGGAGGAGAGGCUGAGAUCACCCUGAGAUUCCAUAAUAACAGUGAGGAUAACGCAGGAGGAGAGGCUGAGAUCACCCUGAGAUUCCAUAAUAACAGUGAGGAUAAUGCAGGAGGAGAGGCUGAGAUCACCCUGAGAUUCCAUAAUAACAGUGAGGAUAAUGCAGGAGGAGAGGCUGAGAUCACCCUGAGAUUCCAUAAUAACAGUGAGGAUAAUGCAGGAGGAGAGGCUGAGAUCACCCUGAGAUUCCAUAAUAACAGAGUGAGGAUAAUGCAGGAGGAGAGGCUGAGAUCACCCUGAGAUUCCAUAAUAACAGAGUGAGGAUAAUGCAGGAGGAGAGGCUGAGGUCACCCUGAGAUUCCAUAAUAACAGUGAGGAUAAUGCAGGAGGAGAGGCUGAGAUCACCCUGAGAUUCCAUAAUAACAGUGAGGAUAAUGCAGGAGGAGAGGCUGAGAUCACCCUGAGAUUCCAUAAUAACAGUGAGGAUAAUGCAGGAGGAGAGGCUGAGAUCACCCUGAGAUUCCAUAAUAACAGAGUGAGGAUAACGCAGGAGGAGAGGCUGAGGUCACCCUGAGAUUCCAUAACAACAGAGUGAGGAUAAUGCAGAAGGAGAGUUUGGGAUCUGGGUACCAGUCCAGUGUCCACAGACAGAUGUGGGUCCAUAAAACUUUUUUUUUAAGAGAGUAACAUCAGUUUGCUGUCCCACUUAUUUAUACAUUCAUUGGUGAUUCAUCCCCCCGCCCCAUUGGUGGGUUCUUUUCUGUGCCUUGACCCGAGAUCGAACCCGCAGCCUUGGCAUACCGGGACAAGACUCUAACCCAUGGAGCAACCCGACCAAGGCCAGGCUUUUUCUUCCGUGUGGCUUAUCUCAGGCGAGGAGUUCACACCUUUCAUUGCAUUUUUUUU